AAAGAAAAAGUUGCUGCAUUGAUUUAGAUAAUACAUUAGCACUGAGCCAAAGAGAGUCUGAUUGUCUUAGCAACUCUUAUAAAGACAUUUAUCUGCGAUUCUCUUUGAAAAUAUUCCUAUUAAGCCUGUGAGAAAAUCAUUCCCUGUAGUGUCCACUAUCUAAAUCUAUGAUGUCUAUGUUUUUUGUGUUGCACAGCAGAUAAAAGGCAUAGUGAAUGAGUCUGAAGUGAACAGGGCUGGAAUUAGUAAGCUUUAUGUGUCUGAAUUGAGUUUUUAAUUAUUCACAGCCUGCUACUGAGAGAGAAACAUGUUGAAUUCACAUUGUCAGCGGCCCCUUUGUUUUUUAUGCGUGUGAGAGACAAACAAAACAUGAGUGAAAUGUUCAACUAAUCCAAAGAAGAUUCCAGAGAAAACAUCUGUCGACGUUCAAGGCUUAAAAAGAGGUUUAUCUGCUAAACGUUGUGCGUGUGUUUUGCUUUGAAUCAAAUCGCGUCACAAUUCAUUAGACGGCGAAUCAAACGAAGCUUGUGCAGUGAAGCGCGAGCUCACUCACCGGCUCGUUCCGGAGUCCUGGGAAUCCGGAGUUAUAAAAAUAUCACAUAUUGGUAUGCUGCGCAGACAGAUCCAGGUAUAAUUUAAGAUGUGCACUCUCAGUAUUCACUGACAUCAGCCCUCCCACAUUCCCAAAGGUCUCUCGCUCUUCUGUGGAAAGUCGCGAGCGCACAUUCACGUGGCGGUGUGCUCUAGUUACCACAGCAACCGGGCCGAGGCAGUUUAUUGUAUAUUCCGCGCACAGUUCCCGACUCCUCCGUCCUCAACAAGUCAAAGACACUUUUCCCCCGUUUAAUUCUGUACUAAAACCACGAAAAGAGUUAUUUUCGCCAUUGGACGCAUCUGGAAUCUCAUAGACGAGCGUCAAUCCAAAAACACCAGCCUCCUCAAUGUAAACAACAACGAUGACGAUGCCACAAAGUGGUUCAGCUGGAGGAGUGUGUAUGCUGUCAGAAGUUGAAACGGAUGUGUAGAGUCACUGAGAUCGAGUCGCAAGCGGGGUUCUGAGGCGUGAACUGCCGGUCACACUGGCUGAUGAAGGCAAUUAGAGGUUUGCCAAAUGUGUCACGUUGCUCUGACAAGGCUGACCUAUCUGGAAGACUCAUAAUUGGGAUGUCAAGUGGAGGUAAAAUAAGCUCAACAGUUAAGGAAAGUUCUACUGAACUUCUAUACUUCUACAUUUAGAUUGAAGUAUCAAAUGUCUGAGAAGAAUAUGUGGCCUUUUAGGAGUGUUUAAUUUCUAAAAGUCCACAGGGCCUUAUUUUUUUAUUUUUUCAACUAGCCUACUAGAAUAGAAUAACCUUUUGUAGUUCCCCAAAGAACCUUUCAGUGAACAUCCUUUUUUUUUUCUCUCAGUUUGAAGAACACUUUUAAAAAUCUAAUGAACCUUUGUCCACUAUAAAGAACCUUUUGUUGAUGUUUUAGGUUCUCCAUGGAACCAAAUAUGCAAAUAAAGAACCUUUAUUUUAAGUGUACAUUGAAUAUUAUUUUCACAUUUUUUCCAUCAUUUUACAAAAUUAGACAUCAGCUUGAUUGGAAAUUAUGGAUA
ensembl:lncRNA